AGGAAGUAAAAGUCGUAACAAGGUUUUGUCGGAAGAUCCCUCAAAGGAAGGCCUUUACACAACGACUCUAACCAUGUGUACAGUCCAGAUYUUCAAUCUGGGCGACGUCCCCCCUGUGCUGGGACCCGGUAUCGUCUACCGUGGAUCAGCAGCCAGGCUUGCCUGGUUCACAGAUUAGGUGGUGGCGGUCCCUUACGGGGAUCAAGAUAUAAUCGGUCGCCAUUGUCAACAGUGGUUGAGAAAACGUUCCGUAGGUGAACCUGCGGAAGGAUCAUUA
rnacentral:rRNA from 1 species